rnacentral:sRNA from 1 species
UGACUGGAGGGGAAGCCACAGUUGAUG